GAUUCUAGAAGCCAGGGGGACAGAAAAAGAAGACUUGAACUGACAACUGCCACUUAUUAUCUUGGUGUCUUGGUGCUGGUCCUGUUCAAGCUAAGGGAAGGCGAACUGCUUCUGAGAGCUUUUCUGACUUCAAGCCUUUGGUGGACAAAGGACAACCCUUCAACCAUUCCCUGUGAUUCCCAGUCAGCUAGAGAGCAGUCUUGGGGAAGAUCUGGUUAUCCCAACUGUCUAUAUAGAAGCAUAUAUCCCAAAAACUCAAGUGAGAGAAAGCUGAUUACAUUCUAGGAUAAAUGCUGUGCAUUGGUUCCAAGAAGGAAGAACAGUAAUGGCUGGGCAACUGGGGUUAUGGGUCACACAGGACAGAUAUGAACCAAAGACAUUCCAUCUCUCAAUCCACUGAGCCACCUAGCUGCUCCUACCCAUUUUCUGGAUGCUAUAAUUUGGAGGAACAUUAUUGGGUAAUAGCUAGCCAGGAAGGUCUUCCAUUCUUUGGAUUGAAUCUCCCCAAUUCAUCUGCAUCUUUGACUGAGUCCUGAUAAAAAUGUUCAUAUUGCAUUCUGUUGAGUCCUCUCACUCUCUCAAUCUCAGAAAUGACCUUCAUAAUCACCAUCGUUAUGAUUAUCCACAUCAUCACCUCAGCACCCCCUGCCCAUUUUGGCUACUUUGAGCAUUUGCUACUGUCAAAUCAUAGUAUGGUCAUCAGAGACCUGGGACAUAGAUUCCAACUCUUUUAUUUUAUAGAAGAAAGUUAGGCACAAAAAAGUGACUUUUCCAAGAUCACAGGUAAGAAUUUUAUUGAAUCAAAGAUUUAAUUAUAGAUCUUCUAAUAAUCAAUAUAAUAUUCUUUCCACUGCAUCACACUGUCUUCUCUCUGAGAUUUGGUUCUCUCUCUUUAUAUAUUGGCUCACCAUUGUCUAUCUAGGAAGUACUAUUGACCUUGAUUUGCCCAUAUUGAAAUGGCCCUAGCUGCCUCUUUAUCCCUUUUCUUAAUACAUUCUGUCCCUUAAUAUCCCAGUACUUGAUGAAAGAUGAUAAAGGUUGUGGGAGCUACAUAAAGAACAUAUAGUAUAUCACCUUAAGCCAUCCCUUUUGUUUCUCUCUCCUUCAUCCAUUUCCACAAUCUUGGUGCAAGGGGAUAGGGUUCAAUGGGGGAAAUCCCUGAUCAAUUUGAUGUCUCCCAAUAAGCUUGAAAAGAAAAUAGUACCUCAUUUGGAGGUAAUGAAGAGGCAAUUCCCACUCAAAAUGUAGAGAUGCCCAUUUGCACCUUGGGUUUCAGAGAUCAAGACUGCUUCCAAAAAUUUAAAUGAGAUGACUGUAAUCAGAGGAGCUGCCCCCUCUGCAAUCACUAUAAGCUAGCCAUCAGAUCAAUAGUUUCCUCUUAGUCUGGGACUUUGAGAAGAUAGGCAACCCACAGCAAAACAGGAAAAUAUGAAGAGUGGAGAAAAAAAUGCCUAAGCAGUUUUCCUCUUUCAGGAGCAGGUGAUGACAAUAUGAUGAAGGUGCUCAUAGCAGGAGUCAACAUAUAUUUGCAUUUGGUCCUGUAGGAAGCUGUGGCUAUCCACAAUUUCUUCUCCUCAAGGAGCAGGUAAUGCCAACUCAUGGCAAAAAUACAUGAUGAGCCACUUAUACUCUCCCAGGUGGGGACUGGAGGACAGAUGGUGCUAGGGUUGUAGAAAGGAAUUCCUGCUCCUUAAAUUCCUAUCUGCCUUCUGUCUUUCCAUUUUUUUCCUCUAAGCACAAGUUAGAUAUCAGAAGCCUCAUAAUGGACUUUCUCAACACAGAAGAGAGAAUCAACCAGUGCAUUAAUAGUUUCUACAGAAACAUAUUACAUGACAGCAUGUACUCAUUCUCAGCUUUCUUAAAGGAAAUUUUUUUGAUAUUUUGUGCUUCUUGGGUGAGGAAAAGGAAAUGAAAAUCCACCUGGCUUCAGUACUUCUAGCAUCCUAAGUUGGAGAACAAAGUCCAUGAGUUACUUAGGGAGCGCUACUCCUACAGAAAGGGAUUUGCUUGUUCAGCAACCCCCAAAAUUUAUAUACCUUCUAAGGGAACAGGAUUCUGACUGCAUGGACAGGACCCUGUAGGACUGGAGGGUUUGUCCAGAAUUCCAGAGCUUUGUACUGUUAAGAGCCACAGUUCAAGUCACUUCAGGGUUAUAGAAGGGAGUUGUUGGGUAUUUGAGUUAUUUCUUUUCUUCUGAAUUUGUUCAUUGGCUCAUUUGAGUCUUUUGCAUUACUUAAUUCCCUGGGGAGUGAAAUAAAAAACAUCCCAAACCAAUACUAUAUAUGACA
ensembl:lncRNA